CUGAAUAUUCUUGCCAGUAGCCAUGGCCUGUAGACAGCACAUUCUGGUGCCAAGGAAAACCAUGAAGAAAAAAGAGCAGAAUCAAAAAAUGGUUAGGUGCUAACUACAACCUCCAUUCUCUUUGUGCAGCUUGGAGCAGGUCUCUGGAGGCACCUCAAGCACUACCGACAGGUAUGGAGGAUCAUGAGAAGUUUGGACCACACUUGGAUCUGUAAAAGAGAGAUUGGAUAAGAGAAGGAAAACAUCGGAGACCUUUCCCUCUGAAUAGAAAUUGUUCUACCUCUUUUAUUUUUUCAACAGAGGUCCUGAUAGGAUCUUCAACUCACAGUGCCUUGGCACAAUCAGGAUUUUAUCAGGAAAUUACUAUCUGUCCUUUUGGACUAUGGCUACAUAUUUUGUUUUUUCUGGACUUGCGGACUAAUGGGAUAACCAGAAAAAAAUUUCAUCCUUUGAGAGUUUCUUAGUUUUAAAAGUUUCCUAUCCUACAAGUAGCUUGGAAACUGAAACCUCCAACUUCCAAAAAACAAUUGAAAUGACAUGAAUUAAAAUAAUUGUUUCAUUUUUACAUUAACCUGGAAAUGCUUAAUCAUUUAAUAAUGAAUAAUGCAAAUUUCUCAAAAAUAAUA